rnacentral:miRNA from 12 species
ACGUUCUCGGCCUUGAUGUCGCGGUGCAGGACGCCGCGGCUGGUGCAGUGCCGCACGGCCUGCAGCACCUG